rnacentral:lncRNA from 1 species
CAAAAUUAACCUCUUUCUUCAUUAUUCAUCCAGUCAAGUUGCUAUGGUUAAGGCAACCCAAAAGGAUUAUGCUACUAUCGGGUCAAGUACAUACCAAUUAUAGUUAUGGGCUUAGACACCUAAUCCAAAAAUUACAACUCACGUCAUGAGAACGAAUUUUUGCUGAAUUCUUCAUCUUUUAAGCUUUUAACCUUCAAAGUUCUGAUCCCUGUCGCUUUUAGUCCUUAUUCUUUCAAGAUGACUUCUUUUGGCUGCAAAAUGUAAUUUAGUCUUAUAAGUACCAUAUAUCUAUGAAGAUAACCAAAAUAUGUAUAAAAAUAUAUUCAAAUAUUGCCUAAAUAUAUGUAUAAAUAUGGCAAGAUCAUCAGAUAUAGCCCUUCACCCAUUCCAAAUAAUCCAGAAUUUCCCUCUUUUACCCUAGUCCUAGAAAACCCAUAUUAAUGUAUUUUUAAAGAUGCCUAAAAUCCAAAUUAUUCUCAAGAAAGCCUCCUAAAUAUUACAAACCAAAUAGAAGACUAUAAAAAUAUUAUGACACCUCUUCCUCAACAAAAAAUCCAAAAAAGAAAAGAUCCGAUGAAAAUACUCUUCAAGAAGCAGUUAGUAAAAUGGUUCAACAAAUAUUGAAGACUAUGAUUCGAGAUUUAGAUGAUAAUUCAGAAAAAAAAACUAUUGUUGAAGAUGAACAAAGAAGAGACACUCCUAUGCCGGCUUAUUUGUCAUGUCCGAAUGAUAAUGUAUCUAGCGAAGAAAGUGGAAGCAAUAAUUCAGAAAAUCAAUUGGAUCUAAAUGGAGACAACAAUCAAUCAUACGGUGCAUUUUCUUUUGAUUCAAUUGCCAGACAUAGUCUUGACACUUGAAGAUUUUUUUUUACUACUGAAGAUUCUCUAGAAGAUAAAAAAACAAUAAUUUUAGUCAACAAUGAUAGACAAGACAUUUACUAUUACAAAAUUCCAUUUCAAAGAAGGCAACAACUUCCAUUAUGAAGCAUUGAUGGAAAAGACCUCCGCCACAAAUUUCCACCGUCUAAAUUUAUGGAGACAACUUUAUCAAGGACACUUGUGCAUUUUUCAAUAGUUUUGGUGAUAUUUUCCCUUUCAAAUUCCCUAUAUAAAGAAGCAUUUGUUUAGAAGUUAGACACAACUACUAAGAAGCAAAAAACCUCUCACCUUUCACUCUUUUAACCCAUUCACUUAAAAGUUCUUAAAGCUCUUCUUCUACUUUGUUGUAUAAACGUUGUAAGAUAUCCAAGUUUGCAUGUAAGUUUCUUUCCUUUAUUUACUUUUAGUUUUUAAGGGAUUUCCCGAAAUGGAAAACCUUUAGUCCUUUAAUAUCAUGUAAUUUUAGUUCGAAGUUCCUAUAUGUUUGUAUCAUAUUUUAUUUCUCAUCUGUAAGUAUAUUGUAAAAUAUAUUGUAAUAUAAAAUAAAGUUUGUUUAAUAAAAAUAUUGUCUAUAAUAAUAUUUGUUAAUAUCUCAUCUUAAUAGUAUUAUAAUCUUUAUUUCUUACUAAGCGGCCCACAUAUUGGACAGACGAAGAGCCAUAGUGAGCCUAUUAUAAAGUCCUUUUCUGAUG